AAAUUUCAGAGCACACAAAAGGACAAGGAGCACAGUGGAGAGGGGGAUUGGCCAGUGGAAGCGGAGAUUUCAUGUGCUCCAUGGUGAAAUCAGAGUCAGCCCUCCUGCAUAUGUGUGUAGAAUAAUACAGGUGUGUGCUAUUUUGCACAACAUCUGCAAAGACAGACGCCUCCCUGUACCCGAGGAAGGAGAGGACGAGGGUGAUGGUGCAGUUUUCCAUGAGGACCCACCUGUCCCACUACCACCUGUACCUGGACGAGUUCGGGAAGUGACAGACCUCAACCUCAGCCUCGUGCAGCUGUGUGAGGCUUCCCGACCCAUCAACAGGUUAAUU